rnacentral:rRNA from 1 species
GUGAACGCUGGCGGUAGGCCUAACACAUGCAAGUCGAACGGCAGCACCGUAAGAGCUUGCUCUUACGGGUGGCGAGUGGCGGACGGGUGAGGAAUACAUCGGAAUCUACUUUUUCGUGGGGGAUAACGUAGGGAAACUUACGCUAAUACCGCAUACGACCUACGGGUGAAAGCAGGGGAUCUUCGGACCUUGCGCGAUUGAAUGAGCCGAUGUCGGAUUAGCUAGUUGACGGGGUAAAGGCCCACCAAGGCGACGAUCCGUAGCUGGUCUGAGAGGAUGAUCAGCCACACUGGAACUGAGACACGGUCCAGACUCCUACGGGAGGCAGCAGUGGGGAAUAUUGGACAAUGGGCGCAAGCCUGAUCCAGCCAUACCGCGUGGGUGAAGAAGGCCUUCGGGUUGUAAAGCCCUUUUGUUGGGAAAGAAAAGCAGCAGGUUAAUACCCCGCUGUUCUGACGGUACCCAAAGAAUAAGCACCGGCUAACUUCGUG